UACAGAGGUCUCAAGCGUUGUUCGGAUUCAUUGGGCGUAAAGGGUGCGUAGGCGGCUUUUUAAGUCAGGGGUGAAAUCCUGGAGCUCAACUCCAGAACUGCCUUUGAUACUGAGAGGCUUGAGUCCGGGAGAGGUGAGUGGAACUGCGAGUGUAGAGGUGAAAUUCGUAGAUAUUCGCAAGAACACCAGUGGCGAAGGCGGCUCACUGGCCCGGUACUGACGCUGAGGAGCGAAAGCGUGGGGAGCGAACAGG
rnacentral:rRNA from 1 species